ensembl:rRNA 5S_rRNA 5S ribosomal RNA
AAAUGCAGCCAUAAUGCGUACUCAUACGCCCACAGAAGCUAAGCAGGGCUGCGCCUGGUCAGUAUCUGGCUGGGAGACCACAUGGGAAAGCUUUGUUGCUGCCAUAA